CGGGGUGAGUAAUGUAUGGGGAUCUGCCUGAUGGCGGGGGAUAACUACUGGAAACGGUAGCUAAUAUCGCAUAAUGUCUGCGGACCAAAGCGGGGGACCUCCGGGCCUCGCGCCAUCAGAUGAACCCAUAUGGGAUUAGCUUGUAGGUAAGGUAACGGCUUACCUAGGCGACGAUCCCUAGCUGGUCUGAGAGGAUGACCGGCCACACUGGAACUGAGACACGGUCCAG
rnacentral:rRNA from 1 species